AUUGAACGCUGGCGGCAUGCCUUCCACAUGCAAGUCGAACGGCAGCACGGACUUCGGUCUGGUGGCGAGUGGCGAACGGGUGAGUAAUGUAUCGGAACGUGCCCAGUCGUGGGGGAUAACGUAGUGAAAAUUACGCUAAUACCGCAUACGAUCUAUGGAUGAAAGCGGGGGAUCGCAAGACCUCGCGCGAUUGGAGCGGCCGAUAUCAGAUUAGGUAGUUGGUGGGGUAAAGGCCCACCAAGCCAACGAUCUGUAGCUGGUCUGAGAGGACGACCAGCCACACUGGAACUGAGACACGGUCCAGACUCCUACGGGAGGCAGCAGUGGGGAAUUUUGGACAAUGGGCGAAAGCCUGAUCCAGCCAUUCCGCAUGCAGGAUGAAGGCCCUCGGGUUGUAAACUGCUUUUGUACAGAACGAAAAGGUUUCUACUAAUACUAGGAGCUCAUGACGGUACUGUAAGAAUAAGCACCGGCUAACUACGUGCCAGCCGCCGCGGUAA
rnacentral:rRNA from 1 species